rnacentral:rRNA from 1 species
CUUCGGUGCCCGAGUUGUAAUUUGAAGAAUACAAUCUUGGAAUUGGUCCUUGUCUAUGUUCCUUGGAACAGGACGUCACAGAGGGUGAGAAUCCCGUGCGAUGAGGAUACCUUUUCUUUAUAAGAUGUGUUCGACGAGUCGAGUUGUUUGGGAAUGCAGCUCUAAGUGGGUGGUAAAUUCCAUCUAAAGCUAAAUAUUGGCGAGAGACCGAUAGCGAACAAGUACAGUGAUGGAAAGAUGAAAAGAACUUUGAAAAGAGAGUGAAAAAGUACGUGAAAUUGUUGAAAGGGAAGGGUAUUUGAUCAGACUUGGUAUUUGGGUAUCUCUUCUCCUUGUGGGAGGGGCUCUAGCCUUUUACUGGGCCAGCAUCAGUUCUUGUGGCAAGAUAAUCGCAGUUGAAUGUGGCUCUUCGGAGUGUUAUAGCUUCUGUUGAUGUUGCCUACGGGGACUGAGGUCUGCGGGUUUUCCCUAGGAUGCUGGCGUAAUGAUCAAACACCGCCCGUCUUGAAACAUGGACCAAGGAGUCUAACGUCUAUGCGAGUGUUUGGGUGUAAAACCCGUACGCGUAAUGAAAGUGAACGUAGAUCAGGGCCCUCUUAUGGGUGCAUGAUCGACCGAUCCUGACGUUUUCAGAAGGAUUUGAGUAAGAGCAUAGCUGUUGGGACCCGAAAGAUGGUGAACUAUGCCUGAAUAGGGUGAAGCCAGAGGAAACUCUGGUGGAGGCUCGUAGCGGUUCUGACGUGCAAAUCGAUCGUCAAAUUUGGGUAUAGGGGCGAAAGACUAAUCGAACCAUCUAGUAGCUGGUUCCUGCC